GACGAACGCUGGCGGCGUGCCUAAUACAUGCAAGUCGAACGCAGUGGGGACGGGUGAGUAACACGUGGGUAACCUCCCAUCAGAGGGGAUAACACUUGGAAACAGGUGCUAAACCGAUACUGAUGGAUGCACCCGCGGUGCAUGAGCUAGUUGGUGAGGGAACGGCUCACCAAGGCCACUAUGCAUAGCCGGCCUGAGAGGGGGGUCGGCCACACGGGGACUGAGACACGGGCUAGACUCCUACGUGAGGCAGCAGUAGGGAAUCGUCGGCAAUGGACGAAAGUCUGACCGAGCAACGCCGCGUGAGUGAAGAAGGUUUGCGGAUCGUAGGACUCUGUUGUUAGAGAAGCGGUAUCUAACCAGAAAGCCACGGCUAACUACGUGCCAGCAGCCGCGGUAAUUC
rnacentral:rRNA from 1 species